UUCACACACACACAUACACACACACACACAAGAGCAACUGAGGAGAAGCCAAAAGAUGCCAGAUCUAGCCACAGGAUCAAAGCAACAAGCACUGCAGACUGUGAGGGGCUAUGCAGGCAACAGAUUGCAGCUGCUUCAAUUAGAGGAUAUAAAGCUGCUGAAAGCCUAGGAGGCAAGCAGGGGUUAGAAUAGAAUGGCUUAGGAGCAGGAAGAAAGAGGUUCCAUUUAACAGGCAAAGGUCAACUUUCAAGAGGUCAGACGAAAUGAAAAAUAGAUAAGAGAACACAGGCAGAGAAGAGGGGCUGACAUUUCCGGACUGGAAGAAGCAAGCAGAUUUCCCCAAGCGGUCCAAGUCUCUGCUCUCAGCCUUGGCACAGUCUCACUAUGCUCUUGCCUCUGAUGUGUUCAGCUGCCACAAGCCCUGAAUCUACAGUUGGUUUGCCUUCUUUAUGCCUUUUCUUUACAGUGUUUCCCCCGCCCCCGACCCCGGCUUCUUCCUUUGGGAUGAAUACCAAAAUAUAAUACUAGGUUAACUAUUGAUUCUUUCACCAUUUGGUAGAUUUCCUCACAGUUCAGAGUUGGCAAGAAUCUACAGUGAUAAAUGAUUCCUCUUUCCAGCAAAUGUUGUUUCUGAGAAUUUUUAGGGUCAGAGGGAAAACAACAACAACAUUGUGAUUUUCCAAUACAUCUGCUAAACACUGCAGUGAGUUAUGAACCUGAGCACAGGAUAUAUUAUCCAAGAAGCCCAAGUACAAUUGGCAAAUAUAAUAUGUCAUAUUUGAAAGCUAUGGCUUAUUUCAAUUCAUCAGGAAACCAUCUUAUUUAAGGCUGGCAUUCUUUCCAAAUUAAAAGUGAUGGAAAAAUUACAUUACAUAACCAUAAUUAUUUCUCUCAUUUAUAGCUAUAUUCAAUUUUUAGUAAACAUUCCUAUCUUUCAAUACUUUUACUUCAUUAUUAUCACCUUGCCUCCCUUGAAAUAACACCUAAUAUGACAUGGCAAGAAAAAGAAAUUGAGAUUUUCCUAGGAGUGUUUUCAUUUCUGAUAUUGACUUUCUGGUAAAUAUCAAAGAAAUAAAUUAUAAUAAAACUUCUUGUCUUCACUGGCUAUCCUUUUCAUAUAAGAAAUAUGAUACCAUUUUCAAGAUAAAAACCAUAACAUCAAGUAGAAACAAAAAUUUUAUGUACAUUUUCAGAUAUAUUACAAAGGUACAUAGAUGGGGAAGCAGUGGAAACAGUGGCUGACUUUAUUUUGGGGGGCUC
rnacentral:lncRNA from 1 species